rnacentral:rRNA from 1 species
AUACUUAUGGGCAAACGGGUGAGUAACAUGGGGGUAUCUACCCUUUGAGGCUGGAAUACCACUAGGAAACUUGGGCUAUUCACCCGUAUAAGUCUUUGCGGAAAAAGCUUUAUGCGCCAAUGGAAUGAGCCCCCACUUAAUUAGUUGGUGGGGAGGGGAAUGGCCUACCAAGACUAUGAUCAAUAGCUGAUUUGAAAGGAUGACCACCCUGGUUGGGACUGAGACACGGCCCACACUCCUACGGGAGGCAGGGGGGGGUAAUCUUGCAGAAUGGAGGAAACUCUGAUGCACCCAUGCCGCGGGAGUGAAGAACGCCUUUGGGUUACAAAGUUUUUUCGGCGGGAAAAAAAAUGACUGUUCCCGAAAAAAAAGGGCCGGAUAACUUCGUGCCCCCCCCCCCGGUAAUACGAGGGGACCCUCGCGUACUUCAAAAAUUACUGGGGCUUAAAAAACUCCGGAGGGGGUUGAAAAA